AGCAGCCGCGGUAAUUCCAGCUCCAAUAGCGUAUAUUAAAGUUGUUGCAGUUAAAAAGCUCGUAGUUGAAUUUCGGGAUCAAUAUGUUGGUCGUGCCUCGGUACGUACUAGCAUAUUGGUUUCUCCUUUCUGAAGAACCAUGAUGUCAUUUAUUUGGUGUCUUGGGGAAUCAGGACUGUUACUUUAGAAAAAUUAGAGUGUUUAAAGCAGGCUCACGCUUGAAUACAUUAGCAUGGAAUAAUGAAAUAGGACGUUUGAUUCUAUUUUGUUGGUUUCUAGGAUCGACGUAAUGAUUAAUAGGGAUAGUUGGGGGCAUUAGUAUUCAAUUGUCAGAGGUGAAAUUCUUGGAUUUAUUGAAGACUAACUACUGCGAAAGCAUUUGCCAAGGAUGUUUUCAUUAAUCAAGAACGAAAGUUAGGGGAUCGAAGACGAUCAGAUACCGUCGUAGUCUUAACCAUAAACUAUGCCGACUAGGGAUCGGAUGAUGUUAAUUUUUAAUGACUCAUUCGGCUACCG
rnacentral:misc_RNA from 1 species